GCCAGACCAAUCUGGAAUGAGAUGAGAAGCAGGACCUAAGGAUGGGAGCCCAAGGCAGAGUCAAGGUCAACUGAGGGGUACGGAACAAAGGACAACCAUCCCCGUUGGAGAGAGCUGAGACCACACAGCUGGGCAGCUAGUUUCCUCUGAAGGGGACUGCUGCACAGAAGCACGAGCUCUGAUGACUUCCUUCUUUAUUACUGCUGGCAACCGAGCUAAAAUAUGCGUAUAAGCAAAUGGAGAGGAUGGGAGGGUCAGAAGCCUCAGAAAACAUACUUUUCUUGGUCUCCCGGGAGAAGAGAGGGGGAGACCGCUGGAUCCCGAAGACUAAAGACACUGUGCACACACACAGCCCAAAAGCUGGAGGACGGAGGAAUUCAGAAUUGGCACCCGCUCAGCAAGUCUUUGGGAAGCCAACUGAUCCUUCAGUUCAUGAGUUUGGAGAAUCCCCUAUUAUGAAAUGAGCCCCGACAGAAUGACGAUAUUAUGCAACUCUAGGAGUCAGGCAUCCUGGUCAGGCCGGUGAAAUGCUUCUCUUUGUCCGUUGUGAUCAUGUUUGAUCUUUCCCAUAUUUCUUCCAUAUGGAAAGAAUUUUCCAACUUCAAUUCCUGCUCAGUAUAUAGACUUCACCUUAAAUUGACUGGAGCAAGCCUCCUUCCUCAUGGUGACCAGCUGGCUAUGGCUGGGGGCUCCAGCUCCGGCCUCCUCUCCUGCCACCUUCCCACUUGCUGGCAACGCUCCCACUGCACCAGCCUUCCUGCUGCUCCUCCGACUCGCCAAGCGUGUUCCAGCCCAAGGGACUCCGCACUUCCAUGUUUCCUCUGCUCGGUGUGCCGCCGACACCCACAUCUUCCCUCCAUUCAGGUCUCUGCUCAGAUGUCCCCCCUUAGAAGGGCCAGGCUGGCUGCAGAAUUUGCAGGGCCUAGUGCACAGUGAAAUGCAGGGCAAGACCCCUGUUCAAAAAGCAGAAGAAAGGGCCUUUUCCUUUUUUCUGUAGUCACUCUUGGUUCAUCAUGGUAUGUUAUUUGUCAUUUAAUCUCAUGCUCCGUUGGGCACAGAGAUUCAUAGAUGCUUCCACUCUGGGACUCGGCCCACAGGGUGUGUGCACCCCACCCUGACUCUCCCUGUGCCUGUGCCCAGACCCCCACUGGGGCUGAGGGCAGCAGCAGUUGCUUAAGGGGUGGGGGAGCGUGAAGCCAAGAACCCAAGGGAGGUGAGGCCGUGUAUGAGCUGAGGCUCCAGGCUCCUGACACAUGCUCCUUUGGCCCAUUGGACUUCAUUGUAAAUCACAAACUCAAACAAUGUUAACAUGGUGGCUGCAGAGCAUGAAGCCCCAAGCACAGGGCCACCUUCUGAGUGUGGUGGCUGGUGCAACUGCACUGGUCACACACUCACGAAGCUGGUCGUGCACAGGGGACUAUCUUGACCACUAUAUCCUCACAGAGUCUCUAUCCUCAUUCCCACCUUUUUCCAUUACGUGAAUGCACUUUAUUUUCCUAUGGCUCUUAUAACUACCUAAAAUGACAUCUGUGCAGUAUCUCUCUGUCCUAUUAGAAUGCAAGCUCCAUGAGGACGAGGACCUUGUCUGCCUCCCUCGUUGCUGUAUGCCAGGCAUGUACCAGAUGCUCAGUGAAUAGUUGCUGAAUGAGUGCUUGAAAAGAUGAAAAGUUCAGAGAAUCAAUGCAGGCAUUUGGCCUACUUUCAGUUAUACAUUGCAUCGCCUCAUAAAGCCAUUAUGCUUUCUCCAUAACGUUCACCGAGGCACUUUUUGCUGCACUUGAGCUAAAGAAGAAUUUUUAAAUGUUCAGUUCUAGAAUGUGUCACAUCUUUCUCAAGUCCUCAUUUUCAUCUUUCAAAAGAGAGAUUAAAAACUAAAGUCCUUGUCCAAGAAAGGAAAUAAUAACAAGGACAAUCAUAUUAUUUUCUGUUUAUUGAAACCCACAGCCAUUCAGCAGACAAGCCAAGAAGAAUAAUUCUCUCUCUCGCUCUCGUUUCAAGGCAUGGCCUUGCUCAUUUUUGCUUUCCCCAACACCAUAGCCAGGGCUUCAGGGUCAGGCUCAGGAACGCUCAGCCUGCUGGCAUCCAACCGUGGUGCCACAGCACAUUGCACAUCCGUCAUAGCACUUAGUCUACACGGGAUCAGAGCUUCCCAUUCAUGUCUGUGGCUUCUAUCUCUAGUGGGGGCAUCUGGGGAGAGAGAGCACAGCUACCUCCAACCUCCCAGUGCACCCCCUUCUUCACUUAGCUAACGCUUAUUACCCUUUGGUUCUCACCUUAAACAUCACGUCCCCAGGGACGCCUUCCUCAAGUGCCCAGACCAUACUUUCUCAUAGCACCUACACAGCUCCAUCAAUUUCCACAAUUUCAAUGCGUUACUAAAUUGCGUGAUGAUUUGUUUAAUAGCUGUCUCCCUUACAGGCUUUAAGCUCUAUGAGGGAAGGGAUUGCCUCACUCAGAACCUCACCUGCUACCUGACAAAGGGUGAGCACUCAACAGAUACCCGACCAACAAACGUGUACCCCUAGUGCCUAGUGGUGCUGUUUGCCAGAAGCUGAACAGGUGUCUGUGGAAUUAUAUUGGAAAAGUCUUUUUAAUUUCACCAAUUAUGAACUGCUGAGAAUGAGUCCUUUUUCCUUGUUAUCAAAAUAAAAGGCAAGUUGGAUCAUUAAACCAUUUCCCAAAGAAUGGUCCUUCCUAACUGGCUAUUAAACCAUCUGGAGGUAAUAAACGAGCAACUUCAUGGAAACCUACGAAGCUCAAGGAUAGACUCAGAUGAGGACAUUUCUCUCUCUCUCUCUCUCUCUCUCUCUCUCUCGUUUUAUUACACUAGUCCACUAAUGUCAGUGCCAAAUCUUUCUCCUAUUCUUACCAUCAUAUACCCUCCUGUCUCUGCUUCCAGGCACGGCCCGUUGUGUACUGCAUUCAAACCUAUUAUCUAUGGCCAAGCUUUGUGUCCCUUAAAAUCAUUAUGUUCUGGCUUUUGGAGCCAUUUGAUACUAAAAGUAAUUAUAGGCGGACUUUCAAACAAAAACCUAAUUCCUUUAUGGUUCCUCCUACCAUAAUAAAGACUCCAGAGGUAAGGAUUCAAAUGAGACUGAAGGUUGCAAAUUGUAUUUCGAGGGAGGAUAAAUCAUUCUUUGUCAAGGCAGUGGAGCUCUUCCUCUC